rnacentral:lncRNA from 1 species
AUAGUUGAUGUUCAUAUUUCAGAUUUCACUUUCUGGUAAGAGUCUUAGAAAAUUCAUCAAGCACGUGGAAGCACAUCACUGGUGCAGGCAGAGAAAAUUCAUCAAAGCUUAGAGGAAAUUGGGCAAACAUGCUUAUUUCCCUUCUAUUAGAAUAUAAUCAGCAAAGAAGAGAUACACAAUUGCACGUCACUUAAAGGAAAAUCAGUUGAUUGAGAUACGCACAUCUCUCUAUUCAAACUUAUAAAGAGGUAAUCUGGGUCUCUUUGGUUUGAUGGCAAAAUAACAAAAUCAGUCUUCUCUUCUUACUGCUUGUUGUGACCUUGCUGCCAUUGAUGUAAUCGGACGCGAUCUUGGAGUUUUCGGCUCUUCAAGGUAAAAUUUUGUUAUUAUAACUAUCAAUUGCUUUGUGAAAUGCUUGAAUUUUCCCUAUUUUGUAUUUUGCCCAAUUCUGAAUUUGCACUAUAUGAUUCCAUCUCGAUAUUCUUUUGUGUUCGUGCACUUGAGUUUAUUGGGGCUAACCAUAUGUGUUGUUUGUACUAAUGUGAACUCCUGGUAGGAUCUUUGAUUGAAAAUAAAACGAGUGGAUAUGCAUCUCAUUCUAUAGAGAAUAGACUGCAAGUAGAAGUUGGUGGAAACUAAUGUAUUUUUACUUGUAUAGCGGUAGGAAAUUGAAAGAAAAGUUAUUGCCUAAUCACUUAAACAGAAUAUAAUUAUGAAUAUGUACUUGAAUCUUGUCUAAUCUUUACAGUCAAGUGUGUCACGAAAUUGAAAUAGAUAUUUCCACAUAAGUUCCAUGAAACUAUAAACUUGGUCUUAAAUACUUUUAUAAGGAUUGCACCACAACCGUUAAUGAACGAUAAUCUACUUAUGUUUGCAUGCACAUGGAUUAGCAAAGAAACAUGAAACAUUAGAUUUGGUUUCAUAUGUAGUAUUACAAGAAUGAUGAUUAAAAAGUACUAUAAUGUUAUUAACAUUCACCUGGAUUAGAUCCUUCUUUGUGUAAUGCCCUUGUAAUGUUGGAUCUACCAUUUCAACUGCUUUUUCUUUAUUUGUCAACCUUGGAAGAGCCUAAAAUAAUAGAGAAAACAGAUUUAGGCAUUGUUUCAAUUAAACCCUUGAAUCUUGUAUAGGGAAAGAGUUUCGUUGUUGAUAUUAAUUUUUAUACACUAACAAUAUUAUAAAUAACUGAUAUACUAUUAGGUUGAAGUAAGGCAGAUAACGCUCUAGAACUGGUUAAAAUAUUAAUUGGUACUAAUGUUUAUAGAUGUGUAGUAUUAGAUACUGACCGAUGAGACCAACACAUGUUAGGAGGCUGCUUUGUAUCAAUUGGUACACGGCCUGUCAAUAGCUCUAGAAGAACCACACCAUUAUUGUAUACGUCUGAUUUGUUGUUAGUUUGCCAGUUGAUGCAUACCUGUUUUAAGAAAUGGAGUUGGCUGGUCACAAAAUCUAAAAAUGUUAGCUGUAGUUUGGAAUAACAGAGGUGUGGAGGACUACGUUUGGUAGAUUUUUAUUUUAGGAAAGUAUGUUAGUGUCAGCUGUAAGUCUUGAAUAAAUAACAGAGAGUGCCAAUGUGCUAAGAUAGAAACUGAAGCAUCUCCAUGUGAAAUACUGUCUUAUUUUCUCAUUCAUUGAGCAAGCAUGGAGAUGUAAUACUCAGUUUGGGGAAAAUAUCAUGUGGUCCGUAUUGUAACUUAUAUUCUUUUUCUUUUUUUGAGCUCGAUAUAUGAAGAUCAAGUAGGAUUGGAUAAAUUUAUUAAAAAGAGAGUAGACGAGGUGCAGAUUGGUUUGCAAGUUUUUUGAGCAUAUCAUGGGUGUUAGAAUGUCUCAUAUUAGUGAGGGAAUAUGUUAUUUUAACUCCUUUUAUAGCUUGGAUAAUCUCACUUCAUGUGUUAGCUUUUGAGAUUGAGUUAGCUAGAAGGUGAAUUUCUUUACAGUAGAGGCUUAGCUCCAGUACAUUCAUAUUUGGGCCUUCUUGAGCUUGGGAUGGGUAGCUGGGUAAAGUUGUGCCCUUUUUCUUUUAUAGAUUUGAACUGUCACACUAUUCUCAUUGAGUUUAGUUAAUUACAAUAGUAAAAUAUUACUUAUUGAGAUCCUUAUUUGCCAAUGUCUACACCUUUAGAGUGGGGGACUAAGCAGGGAAAUUGGAGUUCGGUAAUGAGUAGUUAAUAACCAAUCAAAUGAUGUCUCAACAACAAGGAUGUCAGCUUUAGGUACAAACUAAAUUAUGAACAGAUAUAACUAGCUAACAGUGAGCAUCAUACUUCAAAAAUCAGACCGUGUGAGAGCGGGAACACAAGUGUAUACCCAAGAAAACUUACAGAAGCUUCAUUCAUAGGUUGUUGUUCUUUGUUCUUACUCUUUUCAUAAGCUGCCUGCAGUGCAAACUGAUGUAAAGAGGAAUGAAAAGCAGCCAAUUAGUGACUAACUACUUUCAAUACACUUAAAAACACCUUUGGUUAUGCCUGACGCCGCUGGCUAUCACGCUCAAUAUUCCUCAACCUCUUCUCUUCUUGCAACUGUUAAUACUUUCAGCAGUGCUCUUCAAUAUUUUGAGCAUUAGGUUCAAACUGCCAUAUGUCCAGGCCAAAGAACUUCCUUUUUAAAGUUUGAAGAAAUUUUUUCCUUCUCUUGCUCUUAAAUUAAGUCAAACAAUGAAAUUGAACUACAUAUAAUAGAAAACCAUGUGACCCAUUUAGAAGGUUCAGGUACAUCAGAGAGAAGGCGUAAUGGACAAGGAGAAGUUUGAAUGUAUGACCUUUGUAAGUAUCUUGGCUAUCUCUUCAUCAAAACAUAUCAUAGAUUCCACACGAAGAUCACUAGUUGCAUCUUUCCAUAAGCCCAACAUUGCUCAAGCUAUACCCCUCACUUUGUGUCCUUUUGUUGAGUCAGGGUUGACAUUCAAUGAAAUGAUGCAAGCGUCAUUAGGACUUACAACUCCAAAAUACAGUCACAAGCAUAAAUGAACUUGAAAUUUCUUUCUAGCUAAUGUAAGAAUGACUUGAAAUAGCUUUUGAAACACCUUUAAAGCAGCAUCAACAUCACGGAUUGCGGCAUUGGGUUUUUCAGCUUAAUAAAGACAUUAGCUGCAUAGACAUUAGUAUUUGUCAAAAGACCACAUGAAGGACAUGAUACGAAAUAACUAACAUUAAUAUGGUAAAUAGGGCAGAUACAAACCUCUUAUUGUGUAUAAUACUGCAAAAUUUGGAUUCGACAAAAUAGGUUCAGUUAAAUGAUUUAUGGCUUCAUUAAGCUUGCCUUCGAGGAAUGAACAGUUCCAAUAAGGUGUAACUUCUCUAAUCAGUUUUGUAAAAAGAGGAUCUUCAUUACACAAUUAGGUAAAGAUUAACAUGCCUUCAUAUAUUACAUCCGAUUCUUUCACUUUUGAUAUUUGGGCAACAUCUGGAUUUUCAUCUGUUACUUCCCUUGUAGAAUCUCCCAUUUGUAAUUAGACAACAAUGAAAAGCUCAUUUUAAGUAUAAAAGACAACGCUAUAAUUGCAUCCACCAAACCCCUUCAUGACAUACAUGUGGAGGAUCAUUGUCAGGCUCCACAAUAUCAAUGUUAUGCAACUCGAUAUUAGACUUUAUAAUGUCUUUAUCUAGUUAAUCAAGAUGCUCUUCACCACGUUGUUCCUGCAAACUCAUUCCUAGGUAUCAAUACAUGAAAAUAAACAUCUCCCUAUCCCACAUUGAAUGGCAUAUUUCUAAAUCUUUAAUUUGGCUCAUGCGAAAACGAUCAUUACUUCUCAAAAUACCAAAUAUCAUGUAGUAUAACAGAUCCUACUAAUUUACUUCUUACAAAAUGAGGGAAAUUGUAAUAGUAUGGCAGCAGAUGAGGGACAAUAUCAUCUUUAUGUGUGACCUGAAUUGUAUUUGGCACCCAUUUGAUAUAGUUGGACACAAAAGUAACAUUCCCGAUUCGAGGUUAUCCAAAGGUGAUAACUGAAACAUUCCGCGAGCCAUAAUUUAUUGUGAGAUCAAAUCCAAAAAACGAAGUCAUUGCCCCCUUCCAUGGAAUGUUUUGUCACCAUAAUGGGAAUGUAUUUUCAAUUCGUGUUUUGUAAGGUUAAUGCAAGUUCUUAUAUUAUGCUAUGAUUUCUUCAUUAUUUUCUUCACUUUUUAUAAGAUUGUUUACUAUUUGUCUUAUCUACUGCAUAGUAUGUACAUUUGCUACAUUAUUGUAACUUGUAUUGUUGCGACUAGCCUCAAUUUGAUAGUUUUUGUUGAGUGCUUAUAUGAUGUAACAUUAAAGUAUAUAAUAUGUUGCUUGCCUACUUUCGCAUAUGCUAAAAGUAUUAUUGCACCUCAAGUAAUGUCGACUUAGUUGUUGUUAACAGAUGUUGGCUUGCUACUACUUUAGCAACUGAUAUUAGAUGAUGAAGUAUUAUCUACAAUCCUUAAGUGUUUAGCUACUGCUUAUAAUAAUGUGAUUACUACAGAAUCUUCUUAUCUUAAUUAUUAUUUAUUUAAGAGGAAAAUCAAUAGAUUGAUUAAAGUUAGGAAUUUAUUCAACAGUGGCAUGUGUUUAAAGAAGAACUCCAUUCAUUUCUCGUUACCACUCAUCACUUAUAUAUCAUCAAGCUUGCUCAUCUAUUGGACUACAUAUUCUUAGAGUGUUCUUCUCAUCAAGGUAAGUUUCUGCUUUUGUAAGUGUAUUAAUGAAUUUGAUUCUAUGAUACAUCUUGUUAGGGAAGUGUGGGAUUAGAUACAUGAUCCUCCUUGAUCACUGAGUUACUUCAUUUUCUGAAGAAAUCCUCUUAAAUAUGUGAUGGGAUCUCUUAGGAAGAUGUAUGUACACAUGCCUAUUGAGAAUUUCAUUAUUGAAUACCUGCAUCAGGAGUCAUCUGAUUAAGAGCUUCGGGAACUAAAAUUGAGAACAAUAGAAAGAUCCUCAUUGGUGUUAUACUCUUCAAUUCAUUUAGAAAUCUUUAGUCUGAGUACAUCAAAAGCAGAUACUAGUAGUAAAAUAUAGAAGAAAGAGAGAGCUUAACUAUGGCCUUAAGCUAACUGAAUUUAUUUACCAGAGAAAAAUGUGAUAUACUAACUAAAGUAGAGCAUGUUAAACUUAAACACUAAAUAGAGUUAGUUUUUCAGUUCUUUGUGCUGAACCUACCAACAAAAAAAUGUAUUUUUGAAGGGGUAAUCUUUUUUUGUUUAGUUAUUUGUUUAUGUACUGUAGCAAAUUUUUGUACUGAACAGAGCAAUUGGGUCAUACAAGUAAUUGGUUGUCAUGUAAACUUUUGCUGGGAAUUUGAAUUGAUUUGAUGAAAUUGUAGUGUCUUUAGUGGAAGACUACUGCACUAUGUUAAGAAAAGUAUAACCUGGACAACUAUUUAACUUACUACCUUAAAGAUAGAUAUGUCCAUAAAUAUGAUUUUCAGCAGCCCUUAAAUACAUUACUUUGAAUGGACACCACUAACACUAAAGAUCAGAAAAGCUGUGAUUAUGCAACUGUACAUUCUAAAGAAAGAGCUAGAUGUAGAAUUAUCAAUGCUUCAUUAUGGUGAGUAAUCUGGAAAGAGAUGAAUUCUAGGUGUUUUAAGAGCAUACAGAGAGUGUGAUAUAAUUGAUGUUUAUACUCAUAUGGACAUAGUACAAUGAAUAGAUGGAGUUCAUCUGUAAAUGAGGUAUAACAUGGAAAGCACUGCCAAAGAAUGUAUAAAACUAGAGAAUGGAAGGCACUGCCAAAGAAUGUCAAACAAAUUCCUCUUGAUCUCUCUGCUCAUGCUCGGGAGACAUCACUUAGUUUUUGUAGAGUCCAUGAGAAUUUUUAUUUUAGUGAUCUUGUAGAGAAGAGACUUCUAAGCCUUCGGCCUUCUUCUUUUUUAGUAAAUAACAGAAAUUAUUACCAAAAGUGCCAUGUACGAACAAGGAAAAAACAAGGCCUGAACAACCCCAACCUUGCUUAUGAGAGAAUCUAAACACUGAAACUAACUAUAGUUUGUAAUCUUGACAACCCAAUGCACUAGCUAGUUUUGUCUUCUUACAUCCUCUAAUUGUGGAUCUCCUAGACAAUAUUUUGUAUAGGAACACCCAGUUGGCCUUGACUUUUAUCAAAAUAUGUAUUUUGCAAGAGGAAUAUGGAAUGAUGCAGCUGCUAAAGUUUCUACUGAAGUUUGCAGUGAUAAUGAAUUAUAAGAAUCAAG